rnacentral:rRNA from 1 species
GUCUACGCCCAUGCCACUCUGAACACACCUGAUCUCGUCUGAUCUCGGAAGCUAAGCAGGGUUGGUACUUGGAUGGGAGACCACCUAGGAACACCAGGUGCUGCUG